UCGACCCUCCUCCCAUCCCCACGUGACUGUGUGACUCUAAACUCCUCGUGGGUCCAACGUACUCAACGACUUGUUGUUCUGACCCCGGGGGUCGACCCAGAACGUUUCCACACGGUGUCUCAGCCCCGGAGUGUUUCCAGCACUUUUGUUCUCCCUCUGACUCUGUGUCUUCAGAUGGUGCAGGAUCCUCGGCCGGUUCCACCGCCAGCGAGUGAGUGAUCGGACCAGUGGUUGGAGAGGACGAGAAACUCUCAGAGACGACUGAGAGACUCCAGGAAUGUUUCACCUCGUCACUCUGAGCCAAAACUCCUUCAUGCAGAAGACAAACCCUCCAGAUGAUGUCUCCGUGGAUCUGUGUUGGUUCCAUCGGCUCACACACACUGCAGUUGCUGUACACAACCUGCCCUGCCGUGCUCGACUGAACUGUUGUUGAUAUUUGUGAUGUGUAUCACAAUCUACAUUUGGUCGAAGUCUCUGAUUCAACAGAUCACACCACCGGUCCACAUAUGUCAAUGCUCCAUUCAUGCUGCACUGAAUCAGAUGAGAUUAGUCCCCCGUCACCACCCUCUCUCUCCCCCACUUCCCCAUCUCCACAUUUGUUGUUUUCCAACCUUUCCCAAUUCUGGGGGAGGGUCAUUGACUUGAAACGUGAAGCAUCUCCUCUCCCUGGACCCUGCCAUCAGUACGCUGCACUGGAACCUUAUCGUGCCCUUUGUAAACAUGCAAAUAUUGUAAAUAAUUGUAAAGAACUCAGCAUGUCAAAGUGA